ACAUAUUUAUCCUUUCUCCAAGAUGCUAGUGUCUUUUCCUCUCUAGGAUUUUAGGCUUCACGGUGUAUAUUUUGUGUUGAGCUUCAAUCAAUCUGAAAACUGAUUUGGAGGCGUGGUGUGACGCAGCUGCUUUAUUUCCCGUUACCGCAUGGCCUGUCGUCAUCUCGCCUGGCCACCAGCACGAAAGUCAAAGGGCGUUCACGUAUUUCCUUUUCUUGGAGGCCACUUCUCUAUCUUCAUCGGCUACCUGGAAAACUAGGUGAUGGGCUAAAAGCAGGAGAGGUCGUGACCUCCUUCCCAGGCUCCCUGUUGCAAGUCCGUUGCUGCAUGAGACAGAAGCCGGCCGUGCCCUUGGCCUGGCGGUCAGGGAGGGGUCAUGCUCCAUCUUCCAUGGGGCGCUCGUAAGCGCGUUCAGACUGAGGCCAUCCUGGUCCCAGGGAUCGGGAAACGCCUAGCUGACCUCACUGACCGAUAGGGUCAACCCCAGACGGAAAGGGCUUCACUGCCUCUCGGCCUUGGGCUUGGCUGUGGGUCCACCGUCAGGGGACUUGGGAGGCGCACAGGGGUCAUAGGACUCUUGGAGCCUCAUUGCCCCACGGGUCAACUGGGGCCAAAACUAGUAACAGCAGUGACAGCUCUGGGCGUUGUGUUCCGUGCUCGGGCGAGCGGGACACGUUAGCCCGGACCUGGGGUGUGCGUUGCCCGCCUUCCUUGCUUUGUGCUUUCCAUUUUCCUCACUUUUUCUUUGAUUAGAAAUUAACCAGCCGCUUGGUUUAUUCAUCAGUUCAGCUGUUCUCCUGUCUCAGAGCAUUUUCUCUGUUGUCGUUACGGAGUCUUUGCUCCCCUCUGUGUGACGGUUCACAGCACGCUUUCCCCAACUUUCUGAACAAGAUGGUGAACUCAUUUCCUGUCUUUCUUUUUUACUGACACAAACAGUCCCGUCUGUGAGUGUGCUUUGUUCGGAUCGCACAGACGCUGCCUAGUAUCUCAGGGACGAUGAUUUCCCCGAAAUUCUGUAAUUUUGCUUUAAGUGUCCCUCUGACUCAAGAAUUGAUCAGUAGGGAAUUGUAAGAUUUCUCGGGCUGUGUUUGGUUUUGUGAUUGUGGCACCCUCUAGUUUUGCUACACUAGGGUCAGAAAAUGUUUUCUAUGUUAUUUCUCCUUUUUGAAACGAACGUGGGUGUUUCCUGAUUUAUAACUUGGCCGGUUCCCGCGAAUGGGUUAGAGCAACGGAAACAGGAGGUACUCGGGUAAAGGUGAUGUGCUCCUUUGCGCCUCUGCACUUCUGGGAAAUGCAUGUGACUGUCGAGAGCAAAUGUUCUAGCAUUUUCUGGGUGUAGUGUUUAUGUGGACUUAGUCAACGUGACCACGAUGACAUGAGCAGUGCGGGGUAUGGGACAGUGUGACAGGAAGGCUUCUCCAGUGCUCUUGAAAGAGCCAAGGGUCCCCUCUAAAUGGACUGCAAGGUGUUAGGUAGCCGCAGAACUGGAGUAGCAGCCAGGCUCCAAGAGGGCAUCCAGAGAUUCUCAUCUCUUGGUCUUCUGCCCCUCGGGUGGGCUCCCGGCUCAUUAACCGGAGCUGGUCUGCGUGACCAACAGAGGACGGCGGGGGAUGGUGGUGUGUGACUCCCAACUCUAGGCUAUAAAAGCUCCUGCUGUGGGCUCGGCGUUGCUCGUUCUGAAAAGUGAGAUGCCCUGUCGGCGAGGAGACUCGAGUCGAGCUGUGGAUAGGCUCACGCGGAAAGAGCCCAUCUGGCCAGCCAUGAAAGGAGUCGUCUUGGUCGUGGAGUCUCCCGGCCCAGCUGAACCUUCCGAUGAGCCCACGCCCCCAGCCGGCACCCUGAGCAGACCGGCAUCCACCAGUACCACCCCCCCAACACCUGAGCCACCAGAACCGUGAGACACAAUACGUAGUGACUGUUGUUUUCAGCCGCUAAAUUUGGGGGUGACUGGUUACACAGCAGUGGAUGUUUAAUGCAAUAAUCCAAUUUGAGAACCUUGUUUAUUUUAUUUUAGUAGUUAAUUUCUUUUACAUUCACUGUAUGAUGAAUGUGUUUAUGCUAAUUACUUUGUGCUGUGACAUCUGGACGUAUCUGUCCAUGCAUGUAGAUACAGAGUAGGUGACUAUGUCUGUGUCUUCCUCUCUCUCUCUCUCGAUUGCUGAUACAUGUAUGUGUAUAUUAUGCGUGUGCGCGUUUGUGUGGAUGGAUAUGGAGCAGUUUUCUCAGGCACACAUGUGUUCAAACAGUCCUCUUCUGUGGGGUCUGUUCCUACACACGUCUUGAAUGUUAACUAUUUUGAGAUUUAAGGUUGUGCUUGUGCUCCAGUCGUGUCCUUUAUAAGCGAGCCUCCUUACAGGGCUGGGCGUCCCUCUGUCCUCACACAGGGUCCUUGGGUUCCCUCGUGAGAGUGACGACGAUGCGGCUUCCCUCCCCUCCCCCUCCCGCUGCUCUUUCUUUCCUUCCGGCUCCUCCGGCUUUAAUCAAAAGCUACUCUUCUCAGUACCGACUACUUCUGAGUUGUUACGGCUGCUUCUGUGCCCAAAUGUCAUCGCUCGUCGCCUAGCGGUUCUGAUGAAAAAUCAGAGUCAUUUUAGUCAUAUUAGUGGACGUGCCUCCUCUUGACAGCGGCUCCUCGGGCGCCUCAUUGUUGAGGCAGAAGACUUUCGCGUCCGGUCCUCUUGCUCACAGCCCCUCCAGCUCCCAGCUCGUUCGCUCCAACACGCUUGUUGCUGACCCUUUGUCCCGGAUUUCCUAGUUAUCUCACGUUGAUCACAGCUCAUCCCCUAGCGCAUUCCCUAAGAAAGAGUCACGUGGAAGAUGCUCCCUGCAGCCCCUCACUUUCAAGGGAUCCGUUUCCUUUAUCCAUGAACGGGGCGCUCUGGGUGGAGAACCCUCUGUCCCGCGACUCUGCUGGUGAAGCGAUGAGGUCUGGUUCCUUCCUCUGUCUGGUCCGGAUGCCUAAGGGCUCCUCCCCCACAUCUGACCUCCGCGGGGCUCGCAGUCCUGGGGGCACUCCCUCAGCUGUCCCGCAGGGGUCCCCUGGGGCCGGGCAUUUCGAGAAGAAUGUGGGAUUUGGAAUAAACCACCCGGUUUCCAAACCCAGCUCUUUGAAACCCUGAAAGUCAUGUGGCCUCUCUGAGCCCCAUCGAUGACGUGGGUCCAGUGACAUCCCUGCCCCCCACCCCCCGCCCCGCACAGAUUAGAGGCUCGGUCGGAGGAGGUACCACGAGCGAAAACGAGCUGCAAAGGGCCGGGCCGGAGCCAGAAGGUUCUGCUGCGUGGGCUCGGCCCCGGCCGUGACUCUCCACCACCUGGAGUUUCCCAAGCGAGGAGGAGGCAGGAGUCUGCCCUGCGAGCCUCGUCCAGGCAGGCCGGCUGCUCUGCCCCAAACACGCCACGUCCCGGUCGUCCCUCUCAGGGGCCACCUUGCUGGCCUUCGCCGGAUUUUAGGGUCUUUCCAGGAUUUGUUCAGCUUGAGGAUGUCGCCAGCUUUGCUCCCCCUCUGCGUCCAGGUCAUCGACGCGACUCCGGCCGCUCCCAGGCCCGGCAGCUCCGGCCGCAGAAGCUUCCUCCCGGCGGACGGCUGUCCCCGACCUCCGCUCCCGGCUCCCACUCGGGUCGCGAUGAGCCCGCCCUGCCCGGUCACUCCCAUCACUGAGUCGCAGGAAGUGUGUGGCCCGGGGUGACCGUGUCAGUGAGCAGGACGACAGGGUCUGCUCCCGCGGGGCGUGUGGAGAAGCGCGUCCGGAACGGGUGAGGCGCCGCCGCCCGCUUCCUCAGCCUCGACCCCAUAGACACUUGGGGCCACACGUGCACUCGCACAUUCCCUGGCUCCCGGGUGCCACCCUCCGCCGUGACAGCCCCACCUGUGUCCUGAUGGGGCCACACAUCCCACAGGGACACGGUCACCCUGGUUUGGCCCCGAACGACGCCGGCUCCGAGCACCGGGCUCUGCUGUGGAGCAGCCGUGGGGGGGCACGGGUGCCGUCCCGUGCCACACCUCUGGGGAUCCUGAACGUUACUACGACGCCCCGCAUGUCCACACUUCCCACCAGGCUUUGAGGACGUGUCAAACAUCUUGCGAAGUUCAAGUCGCCGCCUCUGCAGCCCGGCCUGGCCUCGCCGGCGCGGACCCGUCGCAGAAGUGAGGGCCGCGGGCUGAGGGGAGACGCUGGCUGUGAACUCGGCCCCACAUGCCAGGGCUGUCCUCGGCCCGGAAUGGGGCUGAAUGGACUCGGAAGCCAAGUUUUCCCCAGAAAACAUGGAGAUGGCCCUGCCGAGCAUCUGGGGGUGCGCGGCUGCGGUCCAGCCUCCUUCCAGGCCCGCGGCAGCCCGCUGGACUUGCAGCACGCGCUCUGGGGGCAGGCGGACGCUCAGCUCGGUGGCCUAGGGUGAGCCCCCCAAGUGCAGUCCAACCCCAGAGAGCAUGGUCAUAGGGGGAUCUUGGUCUGACCCCAGAGAGCGUGGCCGCGGGGACACCUUCCUCCUUAGACGAGUGAGUCAGAGGAGGCGCAUGAAAAAGAUGUCCUGUGGCUGUCAGGUCCCACCUCACGACGUGUGGCACACCCAAACUGGUUUUCCCAUGACCGGAUUCUUUACGAGCCAAGGAUGGCGCGGAUGGCGCAGAUGGCGUGGUUGACAUGGUCGACAUGGGGUCACGGGGAGCUCUGCGUUCUGCAGCGGAGCAGCCAAGCCCCCUGGGCCACGCGGGAGGCAGGGGCCCGGGGAGUGAGCAGGGGUGAGGCGAUGCGCUCCCGCUGCUCUGGCUCCCCAUGGGCCGCUGGGGCUCCAGACAUCAUCCUUACGAGUCUGUUCUUGUUCAGCUGGAGGCUCUCCUGUGGGCUCGGCUCAGCACAGCCUCUUCUUCCGUGCCCUUCUCCAGAAAUUAAUAAAAUUUAUAUAUUAAAAGGAAAGAUUCCCCCCAAGCAUGUGAUCGUAAGUGCUUGUUACUCUGUCCUCUGGGCUUACAGCUUGUUCCUUGCACCGUGUGUUUGAGGGUCCUGGACACUUAGAACAGUGCCCACGGUCGGGGGUUGAGAACGGGGUCUGUUUCCCCGUAGGGCAGUGAUCCCUUGCCAGUUCCUCAGAAGACACUCGAACGUGCCUUCCUGGCCUCACGACGGAGCACUCUGCCCUCCGCUGCUCCUGGAACCAGCUUUGCCCUCUUCCUGGGUCACAGGCUAAUCCAUUCAACAAACGAGUGAUGUGUUCACUCCGGAUCCGCCGGAGUCUUCCUCUUGACUUGCGAGGUCUGUAGACGCCGAUAGGUGGCCUCGGGCGUUCGGUGAAUCCACAGAGAAAGCUGAUCCCUGAGAUGGGCUCAAAGUUCUCCUCUGGGAAAUUCGGACUCGGUGUCCCCGGGGAAGGGUUACCUGCUGGACAGGAACGUGCUGAGGAGGAAGGAGGAAAACCGGGUCAUUUUCAUCCAGAGAGAUGACGCCCAUGAGGAGAGGCGGGUCACCUCCCCAGGACCACACAGCGCGUCAGAGAGAGGACCCGACACGUGUCCUCAAAUUCAAGAGGAAUAAACCGCUGGUGGGCGAGAAGAGUCUGCUGGAGACAGGAGAAGAGGGAAGUGGUUCUUCCAACAGCGUCGGGAGUCAGGAACACGGGCAGGAUCCCGCCGAGGAACACCGCAUGCUGUGGGCUCAGCAGUCUCGCCAUAGACGCGUGCACACACGAGCCACACGUGUCUGUGUGCAACACAUGUGCGUGUGUGUCUGUAUCUGUCAGAUACAUGCGAGUGCAUAUGUGUGUAUGUGUACACGUGCAUUCAUAUAAACGUAUGCAUCUGUGUCUGCUGGGUACAUGCAUGUGCAUAUGCACACACACAUAUCAGGCACAUGUACUGCACACACGUAUAUGUUCGCACACGUGUGUUGGGUACAUGUAUUUGUGCACACAUGCGUGUGUAUAUAUUUGUGUACAUGUGUGUUGGAUACAUGCAUGUGUGUAAAUGUGUGUGCACGUGUGUGUGUGUGUGUGUGUGUGUGUGCCUAUACACACAGCCCACACAAGGCUCCCUCCUGUAGCCAUAGGACCAGAUGGCUUCUGACGCCACGGACCUGCAUCCAGGUUCGCCUGUCACCCCAAAUUUCAAAUCCCUGCUGGGGAUCAGGCCUCUGGUGCUGUCUGCAGCCCACCCCUCAGCUCCGGAAACCCAGAGGGCCUUUCGCGCCUGGCACUGACUCCCACACGGGCCCAACGCGUUGCUGCUCAGUAAAUGCCGCUUGAACGGACGAAGGACCCAACCUGUAGCAAGACGCCCCAGGAGCAGCUUUGCUGCAUUGAUCCGAAUGAAGGACAGGACCAGCCUUGCUGGCCAGGGUCCCCACCUGGACCUGCAAACCCGGAGCCUGAACCGCUUGUGGGCUGCCACCCGGUGGCCACGCCUGGCAGUGCAGGGACCUGCUGGGAUCUGGGGCCUUGCAGAAGCCGGGGUCUGAUGCUGUCCUGACAUUCCAGGAACAUUCCUGGGGGACGGAGGAGGGAUGCAUAGAGUGGGAAGGUGGGGUGUCGCGUGUGUUCCCCCCAGCUCCGGAUCUCGGGAUCACGGCUCUGAAUCUCGGGAUCACGGUGGGGCUCAUGGUCUAGCCAGGUUGUCCCGUAUCCUCAGGCACCUGCUUGUAGAAAUCGGCCUGCGAGGCCCCAAGAAGAGCUGGUGGCCAUCUCAGCCUGCAUCCGGGGCUUCCCCCACAGGAGUGCCCUUCUCAUGCCAGAUCAGGGUGCCAUCAGGGCUGGUCCCUGUGGGGCCUCUCUUCCUGGCCGGCGGGUGACCCAUCCGGCCAUGUGCUCACGGGUGUUCAGAAAGCCAGCCCUGGUGUUUCUCCUGCUUCCUAUAAGGACACCGGUUUAUGGGAUUAGGUGCCCUCCCCCCAUCAGGCCCUCAUUUAACCUUGACCACCUCCUUAAAGGCCCCAAAUGCAGCUGCACUGGGGGAUUAGGGCUUAAAUGAGGUUUUAUUUUUUAUUUUUAUU